rnacentral:rRNA from 2 species
GGGUUGUGAGGUUAAGCGACUAAGCGUACACGGUGGAUGCCCUGGCAGUCAGAGGCGAUGAAGGACGUGCUAAUCUGCGAAAAGCGUCGGUAAGGUGAUAUGAACCGUUAUAACCGGCGAUGUCCGAAUGGGGAAACCCAGUGUGAUUCGUCACACUAUCGUUAACUGAAUACAUAGGUUAACGAGGCGAACCGGGGGAACUGAAACAUCUAAGUACCCCGAGGAAAAGAAAUCAACCGAGAUUCCCC